UACGUAGGCAGCAAGCGUUUGUUCGGAGUUACUGGGCGUAAAGGGUGCGUAGGCGGCCCUGUAAGUAUGGUGUGAAAUCUCCCGGCUUAACUGGGAGGGUGCGCUAUAGACUGCGGGGCUCGAGUGUGGGAGAGGAAAGUGGAAUUCCUGGUGUAGCGGUGAAAUGCGUAGAUAUCAGGAGGAACACCGGUGGUGUAAACGGCUUCUGGACCAUAACUGACGCUGAGGCACGAAAGCGUGGGUAGCAAACAGG
rnacentral:rRNA from 1 species